rnacentral:pre_miRNA from 1 species
GAAUGGUGAGUGAAUGGUGUUCAUUACAAAGGACAGAUAUGUUAGCCUGUGUGGAAAUGGCAAUAAGCACCAGGGACAGGCAUAUAUACCU